CAGCCGCCACGGUAAUACGAAGGGGGCUAGCGUUGCUCGGAAUGACUGGGCGUAAGGCGCACGUAGGCGGCUUUGUAAGUAAGAGGUGAAAGCCCAGAGCUCAACUCUGGAAUUGCCUUUUAGACUGCAUCGCUUGAAUCAUGGAGAGGUCAGUGGAAUUCCGAGUGUAGAGGUGAAAUUCGUAGAUAUUCGGAAGAACACCAGUGGCGAAGGCGGCUGACUGGACAUGUAUUGACGCUGAGGUGCGAAAGCGUGGGGAGCAAACAGGAUUAGAUACCCGGGUAGUCCCUGUCUCUUAUAC
rnacentral:rRNA from 1 species